rnacentral:rRNA from 1 species
AGUGAACGCUGGCGGUAGGCCUAACACAUGCAAGUCGAACGGCAGCACAGUAAGAGCUUGCUCUUACGGGUGGCGAGUGGCGGACGGGUGAGGAAUACAUCGGAAUCUACUUUUUCGUGGGGGAUAACGUAGGGAAACUUACGCUAAUACCGCAUACGACCUACGGGGGAAAGCAGGGGAUCUUCGGACCUUGCGCGAUUGAAUGCGCCGAUGUCGGAUUAGCUAGUUGGCGGGGUAACGGCCCACCCAGGCGACUAUCCGUAGCUGGUCUGAGAGGAUGAUCAGCCACCCUGGAACGGAGACACGGUCCAGACUCCUACGGGAGGCAGCAGUGGGGAAUAUUGGACAAUGGGCGCAAGCCUGAUCCAGCCAUACCGCGUGGGUGAAGAAGGCCUUCGGGUUGUAAAGCCCUUUUGUUGGGAAAGAAAUCCAGCCGGCUAAUACCUGGUUGGGAUGACGGUACCCAAAGAAUAAGCACCGGCUAACUUCGUG